rnacentral:ribozyme from 13 species
ACAUUUUCGCCCGUUUCUCUUCUUCUUCUCGAUUCUUUUCUUCUUCUUCUUUUUUUCUCCUCUCUUCUUCUGCUUCUUCUGCAGCCUCGUUCUGGGGAAGAGCAACAAAAGUGUAUGGUUUUACACACUCAAGUUGUUCGUCAUAAAUCAAAAGGUUGUGCUUUCCCACGACGUUGGGGGUAAAUUUAAUUGCUAUUUUCCUCAUAGUAUCAGAGACAGACAUAUCAGCACAUUCAAAAGAAAGAAAAGAAGUAGUUUCUUCUUCGUUUUCAGUGUUCAUUACAACGGGCGUUUC